UACGUAGGGGGCAAGCGUUGUCCGGAUUUAUUGGGCGUAAAGCGCGUGUAGGCGGCCAGGUAGGUCCGCUGUGAAAACCCGAGGCUCAACCUCGGGACGUCGGCGGAAACCAUCUGGCUAGAGUCCGGAAGAGGAGAGUGGAAUUCCCGGUGUAGCGGUGAAAUGCGUAGAUAUCGUAAGGAAGACCAGUGGCGAAGGCGGGUCUCUGGACAGUUCCUGACGCUGAGGCACGAAGGUCAGGGGAGCAAACGGG
rnacentral:rRNA from 1 species